AAAAUAUAUCACAUUUAAAAAUUUUGCUGAAUUGCAGAAAAAUGAGGAACAAUUUACAUUUUCUCAAACAGGGUAAGGAACUUGGUUCCUCGCAUAACUUCUGGCACAGACAUCUGAGGACAUGGCCGUCCAAGAAGAAAAUGUAGCCAUUGGUGCCAUCUAUCGACCACAAGUUAAAGAUUGGCGAUCCGUUGGAUACCGACCGAGUUAUAGGCAAAACAUGGUGCGAAAAUGGGCCUUACUGGAUUGACAAAUUUAUAGAUUUUUUCAAUUUUUUUCAUUAUUUUUUACCUUUUUUUAAUUUAAAGCAUUGUUUGAGUGAAAAGGAACCCAUUGCAACAAUUUCGCAUUAAAAUAAAACAAAUUUUUAAAUUUUGCUAAAUUUCUCAAAAAAAUGGCAAGGGGUACCCCUUAUGAAAUUUUCGAGUGGAAAAUUUUUUUGAAAUUUUUUUCUGAUUUUUUAUUCUUUUUUUAAUUUAAAGCAAUAUUUGAGUGAAAAGAAACUUAUUGCAACAAAUUCGCAAUAAAAUAUAUCACAUUUAAAAUUUUUGCUGAAUUGCUGAAAAAUGAGGAAAAUUUUACAUUUUCUCAAACAGGGUAAGGAACUUGGUUCCUCGCAUAACUUCUGGCACAGACAUCUGAGGGCAUGACCGCCCAAGAAGAAAAUGUAGCCAUUGGUGCCAUCUAUCGACCACAGGUUAAAGAUUGGAGAUCCGUUAGAUACCGACCGAGUUAUAGGCAAAAUUUGGUGCAAAAAUGAGGAAAAUUUUACAUUUUCUCAAACAGGGUAAGGAACUUGGUUCCUCGCAUAACUUCUGGCACAGUCAUCUGAGGGCAUGGCCGUCCACGAAGAAAAUGUAGCCAUUGAUGCCAUCUAUCGACCACAGGCAAAGAUUGGAGAUCCGUUAGAUACCGACCGAGUUAUAGGCAAAACUUGGUGCAAAAAUGAGGAAAAUUUUACAUUUUCUCAAACAGGGUAAGGAACUUGGUUCCUCGCAUAACUUCUGGCACAGACAUCUGAGGACAUGGCCGUCCACGAAGAAAAUGUAGCCAUUGGUGCCAUCUAUCGACCACAGGCAAAGAUUGGAGAUCCGUUAGAUACCGACAGAGUUAUAGGCAAAACUUGGUGCAAAAAUGAGGAAAAUUUUACAUUUUCUCAAACAGGGUAAGGAACUUGGUUCCUCGCAUAACUUCUGGCACAGUCAUCUGAGGGCAUAGCCGUCCACGAAGAAAAUGUAGCCAUUGAUGCCAUCUAUCGACCACAGGCAAAGAUUGGAGAUCCGUUAGAUACCGACCGAGUUAUAGGCAAAACUUGGUGCAAAAAUGAGGAAAAUUUUACAUUUUCUCAAACAGGGUAAGGAACUUGGUUCCUCGCAUAACUUCUGGCACAGACAUCUGAGGACAUGGCCGUCCACGAAGAAAAUGUAGCCAUUGGUGCCAUCUAUCGACCACAGGCAAAGAUUGGAGAUCCGUUAGAUACCGACAGAGUUAUAGGCAAAACUUGGUGCAAAAAUGAGGAAAAUUUUACAUUUUCUCAAACAGGGUAAGGAACUUGGUUCCUCGCAUAACUUCUGGCACAGUCAUCUGAGGGCAUAGCCGUCCACGAAGAAAAUGUAGCCAUUGAUGCCAUCUAUCGACCACAGGUUAAAGAUUGGCGAUCCGUUGGAUACCGACCGAGUUAUAGGCAAAAUUUGGUGCGAAAAUGGGCCUUA